rnacentral:rRNA from 1 species
UACGUAGGGGGCAAGCGUUGUCCGGAUUUACUGGGCGUAAAGCGCGUGUAGGCGGUUGAGUUAGUCUGCUGUGAAAUCUCCGGGCUUAACCUGGAGGGGUCGGUGGAAACUGCUCGACUUGAGGACGGUAGAGGGGGGUGGAAUUCCCGGUGUAGUGGUGAAAUGCGUAGAGAUCAGCAGGAACACCCGUGGCGAAGGCGGCCCCCUGGGCCGUACCUGACGCUGAGGCGCGAAGGCUAGGGGAGCGAACGGG